rnacentral:rRNA from 1 species
UACGAAGGGGGCGAGCGUUGUUCGGAAUUACUGGGCGUAAAGCGCACGUAGGCGGAUUCGUAAGUCAGGGGUGAAAUCCCGGGGCUCAACCUCGGAACUGCCUUUGAUACUGCGGGUCUUGAGUCCGAUAGAGGUGGGUGGAAUUCCUAGUGUAGAGGUGAAAUUCGUAGAUAUUAGGAAGAACACCGGUGGCGAAGGCGGCCCACUGGAUCGGUACUGACGCUGAGGUGCGAAAGCGUGGGGAGCAAACAGG